rnacentral:rRNA from 1 species
ACGACUCUCGGCAACGGAUAUCUUGGCUCUCGUAUCGAUGAAGAACGUAGCGAAAUGCGAUACCUGGUGUGAAUUGCAGGAUCCCGCGAACCAUCGAGUCUUUGAACGCAAGUUGCGCCCGAGGCCACUCGGCCGAGGGCACGCCUGCCUGGGCGUCACGC